rnacentral:rRNA from 1 species
UACGUAGGGACCAAGCGUUGUUCGGAUUUACUGGGCGUAAAGGGCGCGUAGGCGGCAACUCAAGUCAUCUGUGAAAUCUCCGGGCUUAACUCGGAACGGUCAGAUGAUACUGCUUUGCUAGAGUGCAGAAGGGGCAAUCGGAAUUCUUGGUGUAGCGGUGAAAUGCGUAGAUAUCAAGAGGAACACCUGAGGUGAAGACGGGUUGCUGGGCUGACACUGACGCUGAGGCGCGAAAGCCAGGGGAGCAAACGGG